rnacentral:tRNA from 1 species
UUCCGGCAUAGCUCAGUUGGUAGUAGCGCAUGACUGUUAAUCAUGAUGUCGUAGGUUCGAGUCCUACUGUCGGAGG